UACUCCUUUCUGCUGUAUCUCCUUUAUUCCUUCUCCCCACAUCUUGUUCUUCCUGUCCUUCUGAGGACCAGGAGUGGUCCCACAGAUGCGUCCCUAGUGAUGGUCCCUUUCCAGAUGUCCCCUCCUGCUUGCUCGUGGCAGCUGUUCUUCCCCAAGCACACGUGGGCCUGGCAGUGGGGGCUGCUUACUGACACCCUCCAUGGGGCACCCCACAGCCUCACUCAAACCUCGGAACUUACACCACAAAACUCGCUGACAACAAAACCCCAGAAGCCAGAGUUGUUGUAAUUUCAGAAAUCACACUGCGAGCCCUUCUUUUGAACCAGCAAAAUAAGGAAAAGGAACGGCGAGAGGCCAAAACACGCAUUGCCCAGGCAUCUCCGAAAGCUGCAGCAGCUGGGCUGCUAACGCACACGGCUGACAUCAGCCAGCCUCGGUUUUUGCAAGCAACUCCUUCUGAUUUUUCCAGACAAAAUCAGUUUUAGCUUCAAAAUCCAGUUAUCCAGAUGUCUCAUUCUCUCUCUCUCCUAAAGCUGGCUCAUUUGCCUGGCAUCCCUGGAAGCCUCUGCCUUAUGUCACUUUCCUAAGUGCACAUACCAGCUGAUUGAAUCCUUUAUUAAAUUAGAUACUGAAAAAGAAAAGAAAAGAAAAGAAAAGAAAAGAAAAGAAAAGAAAAGAAAAGAAAAGAAAAGAAAAGAAAAGAAAAGAAAAGAAAAGAAAAGAAAAGAAAAGAAAAAAAAAAAAAAGAAAAGAAAAGAAAAGAAAAGAAAAGAAAAGAAAAGAAAAGAAAAGAAAAGAAAAGAAAAGAAAAGAAAAGAAAAGAAAAGAAAAGAAAAGAAAAGAAAGAGAAAAAAAGCCAUAUAGUAUGAGCAAAGGAAUCCAGUUUCUCAGAACUAUAACUUUCAAAUCCAUCUGGUCUGGGAGGAGGACAAUAAAAAUACAUGGAAAAUGAUUAAGAAAUACUCCACAAUAGCCACUCUAGCUAGCUACCAUGGGUCCUGUGGGUCCAUCCACCCUGUGCAUUCAUACCACAGCUAAGCAGCUCCAGGAGAUGCAUAAAUGAAUAUCAUUGCCUCCAGUGAAUGUAAGAGAAAGCCGACCAGCAGUCACUCGCCCAAGGCGAUGCUUAAAAUCACCGUUAGAACUGGGAAUAAAAUUCCCAAAUCAUUCUGCUUUCCUGGUUUAGGCACUUAUUCAGUGAAUUGCAGCACAAGGAAAAAAAAAAAAAAACCAAAAAAACCCCCCCAAAAACCAACAAAAAGCACACAGAUAAAAUUAACACUUUGGUGUAAAUGGAAAAUUAUUUCAAGACAGUAGCAUAGUGACUAGGCUAACAACAGCCAAAUAAAUGCAUUUAGAGCUCAAUCAGAGUUUCCACCUAAAAUGGGACUGCUGAUAAUCCCUAAAGAAAAGUGGGUAAUUUAAAAGCCCUGGGCAUUAUGAGGACACUUGUUCAAGAAAAAUGCAGGCACACUGUGGCCAACAGUAACCUCUUCAUUACUUACAGUAUAUAUACUCUCUAUAUACAUGUGUUUGUACACACACACACACACACACACACACAUAUAUACACACUCUCACACAGACACAGAAUACAGCUCUCCAGCUCUCCGUGAUGAUUCAGUAAGGUUAGAAGUGAAAAGGAGCUGCACAGUACUUGCAAGGAUGACAGAAGUGAAUGGAGACAGCAAGGCUCGGAUGCAUGCCCCAGUCAGACAUCUGCAGGAUACAGAAAAUCAGAGCUAUAAAUAUAGGUUAGAAAUACACAGGAGUCACUGGUGCAAUAGGCCAAGGGAGUUUUUUCAACACCUUGGCAUGCUACAUGGAAUGAUCUUUAAAAUACAUUAAAAGGGGAAUAUAUAGUGAGAGUGAAAAGGCAGCAUGUAAAUGAUUAAAGAAAACAAUCUCCCACCCAGUUAAUGCUCUGUUGGGUUAUGUCCUGCACCAACACAGCUUCAAACUGAUACCAAGGGGGCACCAACACACAAAGUGAUUUUUCUUCCUCUUUUUCCUCUUUUCUUUUUUGUUUUAAAUAUUAAAACAAGGUUUCUUAAGAACCACAAUUAAAAUGCAACUGUUAACUCUAAGAAGGCAGAGAAGGAAUUUUUCAUGAGUGAAGUUUUAUUCAUAACUCAGUAAUCCAGGGAUUCUUUCAUGUUUCUCAAUAAGCUUUAAACUAACCAACUCGAUAUUUGGAUGGAUGGCACAUCUGGGAGUGUUUUGAAAAUGCCAUUUACUGAAAAUGUAAGCAAAAGGCUCUUAGGAUAGUUUUUUGAUGCUUGAGGAGGAAGUCCUUGGAGAGACCCUAUAGAGUGAUAGAAGGACAGGGACUAAAUUCAUCAGUCUUAAAGAAGAAGGGAGUGUAUUGCCCUCAGACCGUGACAGAAUCAGUCUUUACAAGUGUGAGGUGUAUGGCAUUUGGGUAAACACACUGGAUCAAGCCAAAACAUAAACUAAAGUGGAGAUGAGACCACAUAGGGGGCUCAGAGACAACUCAAAAACAGGAGAUGGCUUGUGACUUGCAAGACAGGAUGUAAAAGGCACAGUUAAGCCUGGGUGAGAAAGCCAAGUAGGAAUGCACAGAGUUACCAGAUCCUAUAAAGAAUACAAAUCCUGCUCAUUUACCACAAACAAAUGGAGAUCUGCAUGUCAAAGAAGGGAUGAAUGAAUUGGGGCAGCAAGACUGCAGUCUGAAGAGGGAGCUAACAAGCUCCAGAAAGCGUUGACACAUCCCACCCUCACCUUUGCUACUGACCCAGCACCAGUAGCUCUUUCUACACAGGAAGAACGCUUUCAGUUGAACACCUGCCUAAAUGCCCAUCUCCUGGCAUCACUUUGCCAAACAUGCUGCCCCUGGUUUUCAUGAAGAAAAAGCCCUACAUUCUCCAUGAAGAGGAAAGGCAGAAGAGAGGUGAAAAUGUUAACCCUCAAGAGUUAGAAAGUAAAACCAUGCAUUGUCCCCUGCGCCAUAAUUGCAGCAUGCCCCAAAUACCCCUCCAGGACAUGCCAGGAAGAAAGGCAACUGGUCUUAUGCACUGCCUCAGUAGAAUGCUGAUUUCUGGGAUCCUGGUUUGGCACCCAGACAAAAUUUAGUCAUGGUCCAGAUAGAGACCAGAGUUCCCCAUUUAAAUCUCUCUUCUGCAGGCACAAUUGCCAAUGUGAGCAAUCAUCUAAAUCCCAUUUUCUUUGGUAAGAUUUUUAGGACGAGAACAAUAAGAUGGCAUGUGUGACUGCAACCCAUCUCAGCCAUCCGUGGGAACAGAGCAAACAAUGAACUUUUUUACACAGUUUUUUGCUCUUGACUUAAAAGCAGAAAUUCCUUUUUCAAACAAUUUUUAUGGAUAGUCAUUGUGACCUGGACAAGAUUAAACUAUAUAAACUAUAGAUUAGUUUGGAAAAUUCAACUGUCAUAAAUCAGUUGGAUCAGAAAUUCUGAAAAAAUAACAUAAAGCAGCAAUGGUGCUUGUUGACAGAGCAAACUGAAACCCUUUAAAAGAGCAACUAUUCCUGAAACAUCAAUUAUGUACUGUCAGUUUUAGUAGCCAAUUCAAGACAGAACAUGAGAACACCAGAUGUUACCAGCUGCAAAUCUUAUCUCAGUCCCAGAGGAAGAGGGAAAGACAAAAGCUUUAGAUUAUGUGCAAUAUACCAACAAAUCAACAACAGGUUGAGUAAAGAAAGUGGAGGUUUAAGCAGCUACUGAAACCAUGAGCUCAGCUGAAUGACAAUGUGUAUGUCACAUUAGUUUCCUCUUUUGCAAAUGCAAUAGAAGGUGUUGAUCACAAUCUUCUGAAAGCUUUAGAAACCUGUGCUGUAGUUAACAAAGAUUCUGUGGUAAGUUAUGAAUACCUGGGGUUCACCUGGUGUUAAACCCCUCUCCAGCAGCAAGAGGUGCUUUGCAAGAAAAAUUCAAAUCUUUGGAAAGCCUAUCCUCUGAAACAUCAUGAUCUUUAGUAUUGUAGCAGUCAGCUGUAUUUCCAUUUAUGAUUUUUGAACACUAACUACUGUAAAAGCUUCAAAGCCUAACAGUAAAGUGCUUACACAAGAUCAAAGCUUUCAAGGUUUUUAUUUAUGUACUUGAUAAAAAAAUAUAUCAUUGCUAGUC